rnacentral:tRNA from 1 species
GGCGAGGUAGCUCAGUUGGUUAGAGCGCAGGAUUCAUAUCCGCUAGCUAGCGGACUGCAGUUUCAAAUCUGCUUCUCGCUU